rnacentral:rRNA from 1 species
ACAAAAACAUGGCUCUUUGAUAUCUAUAUAUAAAGAGUCGGGCCUGCCCAGUGAUAAGAAUUAUUUAACGGCCGCAGUACCCUGACUGUGCAAAGGUAGCAUAAUCAUUUGCCCUAUAAUUGAGGGCUAGUAUGAAUGGUCUGACAAGAACAAAGCUGUCUCUAAGAAACUUUAUUGAAAUUAGUUUCUAGGUGAAGAAACCUAGAUAAAACUAAAAGACGAGAAGACCCUAUCGAGCUUAAAAGACUAUUUAGAUGUACUAAUGCUUUUUUUGGUUGGGGCGACCGAGGAACAAACAAAGCUUCCUAAAAUUCGAAAAAUAAUAAAUGUUGAUCCAGUAAAACUGAUUAAAAAAAUAAGUUACCGUAGGGAUAACAGCGUAAUUCUCUUUAAGAGUUCACAUUAAAAAGAGACUUUGCGACCUCGAUGUUGGACUAAAGUAUCCUAAAGAUGUAGAAGUCUUUAAGGGUUGGUCUGUUCGACCAUUAAAACUUUACAUGAUCUGAG